AAAGAAUUAUCGGUUAUCGGUAUCGGCCAAAAUUUUCAUAUCGGUGCAUCCCUAGUAAAUACUUACAUUAUACAAUGGGUGUACCCCAAGGUUCAGUGCUAGGUCUCUUAUUAUUUACUCUGUACCAAAUUAUCACUAUUAUGGGAUCUUAGAAGAUUUUUUGACAAUUUACGUCUAUUGUAAUCAAUUUACAUCUAUCGGUCUUGUUAAAUUGAAGCUGAAAUCAUUUUAAAAAUCAUCAAGUGUGUGUGUGCUCAUGCGUGCAUACGUGCGUGUGUCUUUAAGUCUGUGUCGUGACUCGUGAGCAGAAAUGGAUAGAUGUGGGAGCGUUCUGAGAUGCAGGAAAAGGUAAACUGAUAAACUUAACCUAUUAUUUGUAUAAGUAUUAACUUUAAACUGAUUAACAUUUACAAUGGUUAACUUUGGUUCAACUUUGCAUUUCAGGGCCUGACAUUAACGCUCGUUUGCUUGUCCGGGACAGCAGGAUCGGUCGUGUCUGUAAACACAUAUUCCCACUUGGUUUCCACUGCUGCGAUGAAGAACUCCAGAGUCUUCGCCAGGACACCGGACGAGUUCAGACACACUGCGAGGAAGAGGAGGAACGACGGCACAGCCUUCAUCACUGGAGCUCAAGUUAGACACACGCUGGCUGAAUGUGAUGCUGUCAAGACACAUAUAACAGAGAAGUGUUGAGGGAGGAGCUAAAGAGAGAGACGUUUAUGAAAAUCUUGAUGAGUAAUAAUGAGGUUUUGAGUCAUGAAGAGUGAUGUAAGACGAGAAAGGAUGAUGGAUUGCUGUGUUUGGGGUUUUAUAAAUUCCUAUUUUUACCCCAUGAAAAGCAGCAAUAUCACUACAGAAUUUCUUACUUUCAUUAUCACUGGAUUUACAGCCGAGGUUCUUCAUUUUUCUUCGCCCAGGAACAACAACAUUUAGUUUUUAUCUGAAACACACUUUUAGAAAACCAUACAUCUGUGCUUUUUGGCUAAAAACAACUCCAACAUUGGAAAAUACUGAUAUUGUUAAUGAAAUAUCUAUUUUAAAUCGAAUUAAACCUUUACAUAAACAACCGGAGAUUGUGGCAAAAUAAUUCUUUGAAAUAUAGAUGCAAGAUUGGUCUUGUUUUAAAGAAGGCAUUUGGCAGAUUUUUGUAGAAGUGAAAAAAAAUUAA